CUGGGAGAGCCUUCCACGCCUCCAGUGGUCGGGGACGAAACCCUCGCUCUCUCGGUCUCGCGAACGAGCGGCGGCGGCGGCAAGAUCCGAGAGUGACGCACCACCAUGCUCCGCCCUCCUCCAUCCAAGGCUCCGCCCGGCAACCGGAGGCGACGCACCACCGCCUACACCUGCACGACCUGCUCCUCCGGCGGGGGCAACGGCGACCGGGGUCAUCAUCCUCCCUCUUCCCGGAUCUCUCUGCCUCGAAGCUUCACUCACCUCCGGCGAAGACGACGGCCAUAGAUCAUUCUCCUCUUUCUCAUCAAGAUCAAGGGACUCUCCUGUUUGAGGUUUGUACCCCAAGUGAGCAGCUGUACUGAAGAACAUCGAAUGCUUUGAAGUGCUCUAUCUACCCUGACCUCACAAGUGCUCUGACAUUAGAAGUUGGAUUUAUCCGAAGACUUUGUGUUCAAUUGCUUGGUGCCUUUUGAUACGUGGGUCAUUGAGAAGUUUUCUCUCAGAGUAAGAAAGCAAUGGCAGCGCCUAGGGCAUCUUGGGACCAUGCAUAUGAGAAAGGUCUUGUUGAUAUAAUGCUUGACCACAACAAUCCCAUCUAUCGAGGUCAAAAUGGGUGGACUGCUGAAGGGUGGACUAGAAUUGCAAAUACAUUCAAUCGGAAAUUUCCACUAGCUAAUUUCAGCAAGCAACAAAUCCAAGAGAAGGAUAAGGAUUUAAAAGGAAAUUAUAAGGCAGUGAGAGACUCUCGGAAAUAGAGUGGCACGGGAUGGGAUGCAUGAUCAUCGCCGAACCUGUAAUAUGGGAUAAACUUAUCAAGGAUAAUGCAAGGAUAAAGAAGUUCCGUUCAAAACCAUUCAUGCUCUUCAAGUCAUUGGCUUUACUACAUGAAGGAUGUGUUGCUUCAGGAGACUUGAACUUUGUAUCAAUUCCGCAAGUGGAUCUCACAAGUGAUGCCAUUUCUCCUAUGGAUUCCUCUACCAAUGAUUUGAACCAUAUCUCAUCUACCAAUGUUGAUGAUGGUAUGUCCUCAUCUGAUCUACAAGGGCAAGGGGCAUCAAGAAGAGAUGAACCUGAAGCUACAACAUCUACCAACUCUGAACAAAAGGGAGUGCCUGUGAAAAGAGGAAGCAAAGCCAGAUCGCUGUUGUUCUUGAGGAUUACAUGGAUUUUCGGAAGAAACAACCUGCAAAACUGGUUGACGAGUUGAAGGAAUGAAAGCCAGAUGACAUGUUCUCAAUUGGAAACUGUGUGGCUGCGCUAGAACCAAUGGAAGAUUUAUCAGUUGCAGAAAAAGCAAAGGCACUGCGGCUUUUCAAAUGCCCAAUGAAUCGAGAAAUAUUCAUCAAUACCAAGGACUCAAAUCUUCGGCUUUAUUGGUUGAAGGAGGAGAUUUCUGAGAUGUAGAUAACAUAAGCCAGCAUCAAGUUGUGGUACAUGAUGUCGAGGAAGGAGUGGAGAAAAGACCGGAGUAGGACGUGAUUGUUGCUUUGCGGCCCAUCUUGUUCGAAAGUAUCCCUGCGUUGGACAUGGCAACUUAUAACCCAGAACUUUUUAUUGUGCACAAACUUGACGAUGUAUUAAUACCUCUUGUAAUGAUUGCUUUUAUUUCUGCACAUGAAAACAGCUUAGGCCAAUGCUCGAUCGUCAUGAAAUGCAGACUGAUAUCUUAAGCUUGAUGAAGUGAUGGAUAAGUUGUAGUAAUAUUUUUAAAAUUCUAGUUGACAUGAAUUA